ACCCACAUAAAGUGGGUAUGCCACUUUAAGAGAAGAGGUUAAGGAAGCUGGGUGGUCUGCCUGGCCAAUGAGAAGUUUGGUUUCCAGAGCGUCUGGACCAAUCAGGGUGCAGGCUGCCGUUGUGGAUCCCGCCCUUCUCCCCCGGGUCUGCAGUACCGUUGGCUUUGCUCUAGAGAUCCGACGCGGUGAGACUGCUGAGCGGGGCAGCGCCAGAAGCCGUUAGGAAUCGUUGGCUCUUUCUGGCAGUUAUUUCAGCUUGUUCUUCGUAGAUAAAAGUGCCCCACGCAUCCGGAUUGAGACCCACUAUACGGUUGUCUGAAGUGUGUCGCACUGAGAUCGGUCAGGUUUUUUUUUAUACUGGAUCAUUCCUGAAGUGGAUCCCUCCUUUGAUAUUGAUGGCGAGCCUUCCCACCUGGACCUAAAGAGAGAACCAGAUUUCGUCUAUCCCAUUUGGAGUCAUGCUGCACCCUGCGGUGUGGUAGGAGAGCAACAUACAUCUUC